AGAGUUUGAUCCUGGCUCAGAGCGAACGCUGGCGGCAGGCCUAACACAUGCAAGUCGAGCGGUCGUAGCAAUACGGCAGCGGCAGACGGGAGAGUAACACGUGGGAACGCGCCCUUCGGUUCGGAAUAACUCAGGGAAACUUGGGCUAAUACCGGAUACGCCCUUACGGGGAAAGAUUUAUUGCCGAAGGAACGGCCCGCGUCCGAUUAGCUUGUUGGUGAGGUAAUGGCUCACCAAGGCGACGAUCGGUAGCUGGUCUGAGAGGAUGACCAGCCUCACUGGGACUGAGACACGGCCCAGACUCCUACGGGAGGCAGCAGUGGGGAAUAUUGGACAAUGGGCGCAAGCCUGAUCCAGCCAUGCCGCGUGGGUGAUGAAGGCCCUAGGGUUGUAAAGCCCUUUCGGCGGGGAAGAUAAUGACGGUACCCGCAGAAGAAGCCCCGGCUAACUUCGUGCCAGCAGCCGCGGUAAUACGAAGGGGGCUAGCGUUGCUCGGAAUUACUGGGCGUAAAGCGCACGUAGGCGGCUUUCUAAGUCGGGGGUGAAAUCCUGGAGCUCAACUCCAGAACUGCCUUCGAUACUGGAGAGCUUGAGUCCGGGAGAGGUGAGUGGAACUGCGAGUGUAGAGGUGAAAUUCGUAGAUAUUCGCAAGAACACCAGUGGCGAAGGCGGCUCACUGGCCCGGUUACUGACGCUGAGGUGCGAAAGCGUNGGGGAGCAAACAG
rnacentral:rRNA from 1 species